GAUCAUGGCUCAGGAUGAACGCUGGCGGCGUGCUUAACACAUGCAAGUCGAGCGAAGCACUUUUGCGGAUUUCUUCGGAUUGAAGCAAUUGUGACUGAGCGGCGGACGGGUGAGUAACGCGUGGGUAACCUGCCUCAUACAGGGGGAUAACAGUUAGGAAACGGCUGCUAAUACCGCAUAAGCGCACAGUACCGCAUGGUACCGUGUGAAAAACUCCGGUGGUAUGAGAUGGACCCGGCG
rnacentral:rRNA from 1 species